GAACAUUUCCUCAGUUGACUGUUAGUGUUUAUUUCUUCCCCUUCUCCUCGCGGGAGCAGACACCUUCCAGCCCCUCAACUUUCGCACACUGCUCUCCCGUUAUUUGCCUCCUUCCCUCCCUGUCGCCCCUUUCCCUGCUCUCCCUCUCCCUCCUCCUCCACCUCCUUUUCCAGUUCAGCGGUGCAAAUUUCUGUUUGUGCCAGUGGGGCGGCCUGGCGAGACCGCAAUUGCUCUACCCCACAGAUUGACGAGCCCUCAGAUGCCGAUUUACUGUACAUGGCAGCCACGCUGGAGCCGCGGCACAUCUGGAGUGGAGUAAGCUUACUCAGAAACAGGGGCCAGCUCCAGCCGGAGCCAGCGGAGCCGAGCGCAGCGCUGAAAGGCAGCCCUCCUGCCUCCCCUUCCCUCCUCCCCGGAUCCCAGUAGGAAAGGGCCAAAAUUCCCCGUGAAACAUCUUACCCAGGUCUCAGCCUUCUCACCAGGGGAAGCAGUGAGCAUUACCUCCUUAUGGCUGCUUAGAAACCGCUCAAGGUGAAGCUCCGUAAGGAGAGGAUUCUGCGUUGGAGAGGUGUUGGUCAGCAUGGACAGACUGAAUUGCACAUCUCCAAGAUCCAGAAUGACCUUUCUGAAGUCAGGAGCAGCAUCAUGGGUCCUGGGAGAAAUGCAGGGAUGGCACACCAUUUUGCAUAAACUAGGCGACUACUGAGAUGGAUAAAAUGGUUUCUUUGCUGUGAAAUGAUUUAUUUGGAAAAAACUCCACAUGUCUACACGGAAAGGCUGAUGGAACCAGUCUCAAAAGCAAAGCUGUUUGGCAAACUUCAAGAGAAAUCUUGGCAGUUGACUGAAAUCUAAAGUUUUUAAGGGACAGUUGGAUUUUAGCUGAGUUCUUCUAGAAGCCUGCAGGGCUCUGGCUGGCAGACCAUUGCUCAACCUUUUGACUGCCAGGGUGGAGGACUGAUGGCCUAUCAUUGCAGGAUGGCCCACCAAGUAGUCUACCUUUGAAAUAAAGACCUCGGGCCUUCCA
rnacentral:lncRNA from 1 species